rnacentral:rRNA from 1 species
GACGAACGCUGGCGGCGUGCUUAACACAUGCAAGUCGAACGGAAAGGCCUGCUUUCCCUUGUGGAUUGCGGGUACUCGAGUGGCGAACGGGUGAGUAACACGUGAGUGAUCUGCCCCCAACUUGGGUAUAAGCCUGGGAAACUGGGUCUAAUUCCCGAUAGGACUGCAGGGUGGUGCCUGUGGUGGAAAACGAUUUUCUAGUGGUUGGGGAUGGGCUCGCGGCCUAUCAGCUUGUUGGUGGGGUAAUGGCCUACCAAGGCGGCGACGGGUAGCCGGCCUGAGAGGGUGGACGGCCACAUUGGGACUGGGAUACGGCCCAGACUCCUACGGGAGGCAGCAGUGGGGAAUAUUGCACAAUGGGCGGAAGCCUGAUGCAGCGACGCCGCGUGGGGGAUGACGGCCUUCGGGUUGUAAACUCCUUUCGACCGCGAGGAAGCCACCUGGUUGGAAGGGUGGUGACGGUAGUGGUAGAAGAAGCACCGGCUAACUACGUG